UUAUCUUUGCCAUAUGAAGGUGCUUUGGUGGUUAUUCGACCAUUAAGGUUAAAAGGGAAACAGGUGAAAGUCCUGUACAGUCCCGCUGCUGUAAGUCUUACCAAACGCUCUAGCGUAAACCACUGUGAGAGUAGUCUCUUAUGGGAAGGAGCUGGAGACGGAGACAAGUCAGAAAACCUGCCUUCAAUGUGCAUUUUGUA
rnacentral:ncRNA from 19 species